ensembl:lncRNA
GGCGACUCAAAACAUCCUGAAAGUCUGCCUGCCUGUUACAUUGUUUGCAAAAUGACACGGGUCAAUAGGCAGAUCUGAAACAGGGUAAAAAAGGAAGAGAGAAAACUGCUUUUACUAAGUUUGUUUUUGCUCUUUUUUUUGUCUUUUUUAUCCUUUGUUUGUUUGCAUUAUUUGUGCUGGGAUUUUUCUAUUCUGCACCUCCUCGUCCCUCAUCGUGCUUUUUUGGCUGAGCUACAAGGUGUUAAUGAAAGCGUUUCAGGCAAACAUGUUGAUUUUUGUUUCCAUGGGGAUCCAGAAGGCCUCACAAUGUCACAGAGGCUUCGGCCAACAGACUGGCGAAAAGCACUGCUGUCUCUUUUUUUCCGCCCCUCUUUUAUUCGCUGUUUCUUCUUCUCCACUCUCCACUCUCCAUUUUCUUUUCUUCUUUUUUUUAAAUGAAUUCUUUCUGUUGGUUUAACUCUUCAGCCUCCCCCUCUGUGUCUCUGCCUUUACCGUUUGUUUUCGCUUAUCCGUCUUUUUAAAGCAUCUCUGUUUCUUUUUCGCUGCCACUUUUUCCUCUCACUCUUUUUUCCUCUUCCUGACCCUCUCUACUCCGCUUACCCCCUUUCUUCUUUUGUUGUCAUUUAUGUGUGAAGAGCACUGAUAAAUGAAGACAAACACAGCAGUGUCUGUGUGUGUGUGGGUGUGUGUCUGAGAGACGGACGCCAGCUCUCUGAUAUCAUUGUUAGCCUCUCCACCUCUCCUCACUCCACUGCACAUCCAGCUACAGGCUUUCUUCCCCCCUCCUCUCCAUCCAUCCAGGCCCCGAGCCAAGAAGGCAGCUUUGGGGGCCAAGUCAGGCCAGGAUGGAGGCUUCAUUGUGGGGCUGCAGAGGGCGUUGGUGCUGGAGGAUGAGGACCGGGGAUCCAGGCCAAGUCCCAGACCCAAGACCCUGAUCUGGCUUGCCAGUCAACCCACUAAAGGGCCUUCGUGGCUGGGCACAACAUCAGGACAAGAGGGGAGGAGCUGGAGGCUGGAGGUCUCAGCAGCGGUAAUGGCGGUGGCUAGAUUAAGACCUUCUCUUAGAAUCGGCACAAUGGAGAAGGUCUACAGCGAAGCUCCGCGCAGACACACACACACAUGCACACAUACACAACGCCUCUAUUCAGCUUCGUCC